rnacentral:rRNA from 1 species
GAUGAACGCUGGCGGCGUGCCUAAUACAUGCAAGUCGAGCGAACAAACUUGGAGCUUGCUCCUCUUACGUUAGCGGCGGACGGGUGAGUAACACGUGGUUAACCUACCUUUAAGCCUGGGAUAACUUCUGGAAACCGAUGCUAAUACCGGAUAAUAUCUUUAACCGUAUGUUUUAAUUUUGAAAGAUGUUUUUGCUUUACUUUAAUAUUGUAUCCCCGCCUCAUUACUUAGUUGUUAAGUUAACGCUUUACCAAGCCAACGAUCCUAAGCCGACCUGAAAGGGGGAUCGGCAAAACUGGAACUGAGAAACGGUCCAGACUCCUACGGGAGGAAGAAGUAGGGAAUCUUCCGAAAUGGGCGAAAGCCGGACGGAGAAAGGCCGCGUGAGUGAUGAAGGUCUUCGGAUCGUAAAACUCUGUUAUUAGGGAAGAACAAAUGUGUAAGUAAAUAUGCACGACUUGACGGUACCUAAUCAGAAAGCCACGGCUAACUACGUG